rnacentral:lncRNA from 1 species
GGCGAGGCUGAAGGCCGGGCUGGGGCGGUGCCUGGCUGCAGGGUGGUGGAGGAGGUGAAGGAGGAGGAGGAGGAGGAGGAAGAGGCCAGGAUAUUCCUGAAUGAACGUCUCCCUCCCUCCUCACCCCACACCUCCGCCCGCUGCCCGCCUCCCGCCCGCCACUCGCCGGCCCCGCUGCGAGGCGCAGCCAGUUUCUAUAGCGACGGCGCCGAGCCGCCGCUCCUCCGAGUAGUAACAAAGCCGGCUGCCCGCGGCCGCGCCGACACGGAGGGGAAGCGGCUCCCGAGGCCCCCCGACCGCCCUCCGCAGCACCCCGGCAGGUUUGAUGACUACGUUAAGUGGAUUUGCUGGAGAUGUACGUAUGCUUGCUGUAGCCAGCAGCUAUUUCAGGACAAAAAGUGCACAGAGAACAUACCAAGGAUGAAUCAUCUGUUUUUAUUAUCAGUCAUUCAGGCAAUGUGGUGAUGGAUGGAUGAAUAGAUAGAGGCCAGAUCUGUGAGCCAGCUCGGCAUCUGGCAGGUAAGUUCCUGGAAGCUCACCAAAAUGUGUUCUCAAGAAUCACAUCUCUAUUUUAUGUGUUACAUUUUGCCAAAUAGUAUCCAAGAAUACAAAUCAUCUUCAGACAAUAAGAUCAUACUUGAGCAUACAUAAUUCCAUAAUUUUAGUGGAACUUAAGCACGUGCAUACUUGUACAAGUGUUCAAGAAUCUGAAGAAGGAUGCUUUCCUGGAUGGGGAGAUAGAGAAACAGCUCUUACAAGACUUAAAAAGAGUGAAGCUGAAUGGAAAAUUAAUGGCAUGCAGGUGAUAUAAAAACAGAACAGUAAUAUUGGGUGUUGAUGGAUCCCAAAAAAUUCUCAGAUGAAUUAAGUUUCUAGUAAAUCUUAUGUCAUCUGUCUGUUAAGAAGAUAUGAAUCUGUCUUAUGUGACUGCUUUGCCUGUCUCUGUCACCUGACAGGCAAGUUAAAGCAUUUUAUAAUCCUGGAAUGGAGAAAAAUUGAGUGUAGUGCUAUUUCCCUAUCCUUCCCUUGGUGUAACUCCCAAGACAACUUGUCCUGCAGUGGUAUGCUGUGCUUAUGGAUUUAGUAACGUUUUCAUUAUAAAGAUUAUUUUUAUGAAUUUGUUGUAAUGUGGCCAAUGCAAUUGAAUCAUGCUGAAGUGUGUUUGUUAGGGACUGAGGAUAAUUUUCAAUAUUUUUAUCUCUAUAAAUAUAAUGCUUAAGUAAUUCAUCUUGAUAUAGUCUAAUUAAAAUACAAGUUCUCAUUGAUUUUGGGGCAGGGAGGAGGGAAGCAUAUCACCAUAAUAAGUAGAAAGAAACUUCCUGGGGUUAUUUUUUUUCAUGCAGUUUUCUUAUUCAGAUGUGGCUAGGAAUAAGUUAAACAGCCUUCUGAAUUAAUUCCAUUAAAAUCAAGUCUUCUGCUUAUUUUUCUGUAUCAGUAAAGUAAAAUUGUUGAUAAAAAAGGUUUG